rnacentral:rRNA from 1 species
UACGUAGGGUCCGAGCGUUGUCCGGAAUUAUUGGGCGUAAAGGGCGCGUAGGCGGGAUGGCAAGUCGGUCGUGAAAUCCCUCGGCUCAACCGAGGAACGUCGAUCGAUACUGCUGUUCUUGAGGAUUGCAGAGGGAGACUGGAAUUCCCCGUGUAGCGGUGAAAUGCGUAGAGAUCCGGAAGAACACCGGUGGCGAAGGCGGUUGGCUGGGCAGGUGCUGACACUGAGGCGCGACAGCGUGGGGAGCAACAGG